rnacentral:tRNA from 1 species
GGGGAUUUAGCUCAGCGGCAUAAGCGCCUGCCUGGUAAGCACAAGAUCAUGAGUUUGAUCCUCAGUACCCCCC